rnacentral:rRNA from 1 species
UACGUAGGCAGCAAGCGUUGUUCGGAGUUACUGGGCGUAAAGGGUGUGUAGGCGGUUCUUUAAGUUUGGUGUGAAAUCUCCCGGCUCAACUGGGAGGGUGCGCCGAAUACUGAGGGACUAGAGUACGGGAGAGGAAAGUGGAAUUCCUGGUGUAGCGGUGAAAUGCGUAGAUAUCGGGAGGAACACCAGUGGCGAAGGCGGCUCUCUGGGCCUUUCCUGACGCUGAGACGCGAAAGCGUGGGGAGCGAACCGG